rnacentral:rRNA from 1 species
UACAGAGGGUGCGAGCGUUGUUCGGAAUUAUUGGGCGUAAAGCGCGAGUAGGCGGCAUGUUAAGUCGCGUGUGAAAGCUCCAGGCUCAACCUGGAAAGUGCGCGCGAAACUGGUGUGCUUGAGUGCCAGAGAGGGUGGCGGAAUUCCCGGUGUAGAGGUGAAAUUCGUAGAUAUCGGGAGGAACACCAGAGGCGAAGGCG